rfam:Schistosoma margrebowiei strain Zambia genome assembly, scaffold: SMRZ_scaffold0000248
AUCCAGCUGACGAGUCCUAAAUAAAAUGAAACGCGUUUCCUCGAU